rnacentral:rRNA from 1 species
GGGGCGCAGCAGUCGCGAAAACUUUGCAAUACACGCAAGUGUGACAGGGCUAUCCCGAGUGCCAUCCGCUGAGGAAGGCUUUUACCCAGUCUAGAAAGCUGGGGGAAUAAGGAGAGGGCAAGUCUGGUGUCAGCCGCCGCGGUAAUACCAGCUCUCCGAGUGGUGUGGAUGUUUAUUGGGCCUAAAGCAUCCGUAGCUGGCUAGGUCAGUCCCUUGUUAAGUCCACCGAAUUAAUCGUUGGAUUGCGGGGGAUACUGCCUGGCUAGGGAACGAGAGAGGCAGACGGUAUUUUCGGGGUAGGGGUGAAAUCCUAUAAUCCCGGGAAGACCACCAGUGGCGAAGGCUGUCUGCCAGAACGCGUCCGACGGUGAGGGAUGAAAGCUGGGGGAGCGAACCGGAUUAGAUACCCGGGUAGUCCCAGCUGUAAACGAUGCAGGCUAGGUGUUUGGACGGCCACGUGCCGUUCUAGUGCCGCAGGGAAGCUGUUAAGCCUGCCGCCUGGGGAGUACGAUCGCAAGAUUGAAACU